rnacentral:tRNA from 1 species
GGCCCUAUCGUCUAGUGGUUAGGACCUGCGACUCUUAAUCGUAUGACACAAGUUCAAAUCUCGUUGGGGUCA